UGACGGUACCUGACUAAGAAGCACCGGCUAAAUACGUGCCAGCAGCCGCGGUAAUACGUAUGGUGCAAGCGUUAUCCGGAUUUACUGGGUGUAAAGGGUGCGUAGGUGGUACGGCAAGUCAGAAAUGAAAGCUCGGGGCUCAACCCCGGAACUGCUUUUGAAACUGUCGAACUAGAGUGCAGGAGAGGAAAGCGGAAUUCCUAGUGUAGCGGUGAAAUGCGUAGAUAUUAGGAGGAACACCAGUGGCGAAGGCGGCUUUCUGGACUGUAACUGACACUGAGGCACGAAAGCGUGGGGAGCAAACAGGAUUAGAUACCCUG
rnacentral:rRNA from 1 species